UACGGAGGGUGCAAGCGUUAUCCGGAUUCACUGGGUUUAAAGGGUGGCGUAGGCGGGUUGGUAAGUCCGUGGUGAAAUCCCCAAGCUUAACUUGGGAACUGCCGUGGAUACUAUCAAUCUUGAAUAUCGUGGAGGUAAGCGGAAUAUGUCAUGUAGCGGUGAAAUGCUUAGAUAUGACAUAGAACACCAAUUGCGUAGGCAGCUUACUACACGAUCAUUGACGCUGAGGCACGAAAGCGUGGGGAGCAAACAGG
rnacentral:rRNA from 1 species